rnacentral:rRNA from 1 species
GACGAACGCUGGCGGCGUGCCUAAUACAUGCAAGUAGGACGCAGUUGCGAACGGGUGAGUAACGCGUAGGUAACUGCCUAUUAGAGGGGGAUAACUAUUGGAAACGAUAGCUCAUACCGCAUACUAGUAGAUGGACCUGCGUUGUAUUAGCUAGUAGGUAGGGUAAUGGCCUACCUAGGCGACGAUACAUAGCCGACCUGGGAGGGUGGUCGGACACACUGGGACUGGGGCACGGGCCAGACGCCUACGGGAGGCAGCAGGAGGGAAUCUUCGGCAAUGGGGGGAAGCCUGACCGGGCAACGGCGCCGGAGUGGAGAAGGUUGUCGGGUCGUAAAGCUCUGUUGUUAAGGAAGCGGUACUUAACGAGAAAGGGACGGCUAACUACGUGCCAGCAGCCGCGGUAAUUC